AUAACCGCCUGAAUCUUGUCUCCUACGUUUCCUUUUAUGUCAAAACAAUGCCACAAAACGCAGAGCAAAAUAAUUCUUCUUUAGGCAAGCAUGUGACGUCUGCGUGCUGAUUCGUAGGAAACUGGGCUCUUCAAUGGGCCUUAUUUUCGGCCUCUUGUUUAAAACUUUCUAGAUAAGCUCUUCCCUUGUGUUAUAGCUGAAAGCUCUUCCCAUGGUUUUUAACUUUAAGGGGUAGGUAAUUUGGUUUAUUUUCGGUUUCGGAUUGGAUUAGGUUUAUUUGGUUGGUAAUAAACUAGAUGGAUCCAAAAUCAAAGGUAGUAUUAUUCGGUUUAGUUAUGUUUGGUUUGGAUUUGGUUCGAAAAACGAAACAAAUUAAAUACAAUAGAGCAUGAAACCAAACUUACCGUCAUUUGAAGAUUGAUAUGGAGACUACA